AUUUUUCUACUGUUGAUGACAUAGUUCUCUGUUGGGGAUUUCGUCUCGUGACUCUCGUCUUAUGUAUCGGGUUUUAUCGUUGAAACAACACGGUUCUUAUGUCGACUUGCAUUUUUUACCUUCUUAGGUAAUUUAGCUUCUUUCCAAUUUCUUCUUCUUUGUUUGUUUGUUUGUUUAUUUUCUUCUGUUCUGUUUUCUGAUGCCAUAGUUCUCUGUUGGGUGUUUAAUCUGUUCUUAUGUAUUAGUUUUUAUCAUUGAAAUUCCACGAUUCUUAUGUAGAUAUGCAUCUUUAACCUUCUGAGGUAAUUAUAGCUUAUUCUCAAUUUUUCUUUUUCAUUUUUUUAGUUUCUUCUCUUUUGUUUUCCACUAUUGAUGCCAUAGUUCUCUGUUGAGGGUUUAAUUGGUUCUUAUGUAUCAGUUUUUAUCAUUGAAACUCCACGUUUCUUAUGUAGAUAUGAAUUUUUUACUUUCUUAGGUAAUUAUAUCUUAUUCUCGAUUUUUCUUUUUCAUUUGUUUAGUUUUUUCUACCCUAUUUUCCAUUGUUGAUGUCAUAGUUCUCUGUUGGGAGUUUAAUCUGUUCUUAUGUAUCGGGUUUUAUCGUUGAGACAGCAUGGUCCUUGCGUCGAUUUGCAUUUUUUACCUUCUCAGGUAAUUAUAACUUAUUCUCAUAUUUUCUUUUUCAUCUGUUUAGUUUUUUCGACUGUUUUUCCACUGUUGAUGCUAUAGUUCUCUGUUGGGGAUUUCGGCUGGUCUUAUGUAUUGGGUUUUAUCAUUAAUACUCCACCGUCUCUCAAUUUUUCUUUUUCAUUUGUUUAGUUUUUUCUGCCCUGUUUUCCACUGUUGAUGCCAUAGUUCUCUGUUAGGGGUUUAAUCUGUUCUUACUAUGUAUUUUUGCAUUUUUUAACCGUUAAAAUUGUGCGCACAUGCCAUUAGAUUUGUAUUUUUUAAAACUUGUUAGGUAAUCAUUGUUCCUUGUUUUAACCAUUUAAUCUUUCACACAUUCCUUCUUUAGAUUUGUAUUUUUAAACCUUGUUAGGUAAUCAUUGUUACAUAUUAUAACUAUUAAAACUGUAUGUGCCUGCCUUAUUUAUAUUUGAUUUUUUUCAUAUGGGUAGGUAAUUUUCAUUGCUUUAAGCAUUAAAACUCUGCACAUAGUUUCUUUAGAUUUGAUUUUUAAAAACCUUGUUAGGUAAUGAUUAUUUCCAGUUAUAACCGGCAAACAUGUGUGCACAUCUUCUUUCUAUUAAAUUUGUUUAGAUUUAAUUUUUUUAUUAAGAUUGCAAAUAUGAUGGUCAGAGAUUAAUAAUCUUCUUAUACAUCAGGUUGUUCCUUUAUAAACUAGAUUGUUGCCUAGAAAAAUUACAUAAGCUCUUUGAAUUCGCCGAUCCGAGGUACCUCCUCCCUAAUAAGCACCAGAAAAAAUUCUUUAGCUGAAUGAUGGGGAUUUUGUAACAUGUAACCUCCCAUAAAAUGUUGAGGACAGAUAAGGUAGGAUAUUUUGAAGUGUAGACCAGUGCAUCAAUGUGGGUUCGAACAUAUAUUGUGAGACCUUGUUGACCGAAGAUGCAAUGUCUGGACUGGUCAUUAUUAAGUACUGUAGAGUGUGAAAAAACAAUGACUUAUCUGAAUUUUGUUGUGUCUGGGCCCAAAAGUUGUUCUUCAAUAGUAUUUAAUUCUAAUCUCCUUCAAGGGUGUGUAAAUGCUGGUUUAAAAUUGACAAGAUCAAGACCGUGAAGAAGAUUCGCAAUGAAUGGUGCUGGGAUAAAAACAAACUAUUAUCAUUCAAUCUAGUUAAAAUGGAUUCCUAGAAAGAAACAUAAUCUCCCAAGAUCUUUGACAGCAAACUCUGUAGAAAGUUGGCAAGUAAUCUCCUCUGAAAAUAUCAUGGAUGACCCUAUAAGAAUUAUGUCAUCUACAUACGCCAAAAAAUUUGCAAUCACUUUCUUCUUUAUGGAAAUAAAAAGUGAUUGGUCUGAUUUACUUUUUUACUGAAGCCAAGAGAAAUAAUAAAAUCAUAUAAUUUGUGAAACCAUACUUUUGAAGAUUGCUUCAAUCCAUAGAUAGAUCUUAGAAACUUACACAUGUGAUUUGGAUGCGAUCGAUGUUUGUAGUAACUUACACAUGUCUUAUGAACACAUUCUCUUUUAAAAAUCCAUUGCAGAAAUGCAUUCUAUAAGGCCAGCUAUUUCAAUUGUGAUGGUCAAAGAUUAAUAAUCUUCCUAUACGGAUCCUCCUUUAUAGGAAGCAUAGUUCAAAAAAGCAAAAAGCGCUUCUACUUUUCAGGAAGAGCUUUUUCACUUUGGACGCUUAAAGCACUAGGGGUAUUUUAAUAAUAUCCUGUAAAAAUACAUAUAAUCCUAUAUAAAUAUACCCUAUAAAUAUAUAUAUAAUCUAUAGAAAAUUAAAAAUACCGUAUAAAAGUAUAAAAUCACAUGUAAUAGAAUAUUAAAGAUUUAAUUCAUACAAUUAAAAUUAAAUGCAACUAAAAUCUGAAAGUGGAGUAAGGGUUUUUAAUUUUAGUUAGAAUAAAAGAGUAGAACCGUAGAAUAGGAAAAAAAAAGUAUAUUAGGUGAAAAUAUUAAUAAAUAAUAGGUGUAAUUGGGUAAUCGGACGGAUCUUUAGCCAUAACAAAUGACUUGGUGCGUCCACCUGAACCUAGUUGUCCAAAAACCAUUUAAUAGUCACCGUGUGUAUUGAAUAAGGAUAAAAAUGGAAGUACAAAUCUUGAAAAAAUGGUAUAGAAGGUCCAGAUUCGAUGAGAUUCGAUGGGUGCACCCAGCCGCACCCAAUCUAUUAAAAUCAGAGAUUUGUGUUCUUCUUUGAAUUUUGUUUAAUGAAUGAAAUAACAAAUCGACAUUCAUUGAAACUUCCAGAGAUUUGUCCAUUAAAGCCGCAAAUUGCAUCUUCUAGAGAUUUCUUGUUUUUACUAUCUUCUUUUAUCGAUUCGAAUUUUUAACUCUUUACCUUAUUAGGUAAUUAUCAUUAUUAUUUUAACUAGUUUUAUCUGUUUUAAUUAUAAUUAUAUAUAGUAUAUACCAUAGUAAUCGUACUGAGAUUGAGUAUUGACCUUUAAUUUGUUAACAUCCUGAUUACGAACCUUGGAUGGUAGAGGUUUCUACCAAAUGCACUAUAAAAACAUUGCCUUUAAAAAAAAACUUGAUUUUUAUGUGAAUUUCAUACUUUCAAAUCAUCAAAGGAUUCAAAGUUCUUUGUUUAAAGAAAUACAAUCUCUCAUGACACAUUUUACAAUUUAUACUUUAUAAAUAAAUAAACAACUAGAUUUCUUUAACUUUAUGUAGUCUAAUCACCUUUGCUCUCAAAA
rnacentral:lncRNA from 1 species